AAAGGGGCGUUUUACCAAACACUUCUAACUCAUGUUAUGUGGCCAUUAUACCCACCACUUCCAACCUUCCAAUCCUUUAAUUGCCAAAAUCGGGCAGGUAACCAGUAAAGGGUAGCUACUAAUUAGGUGCAAUAGACACGUGGUUAAUGGAGAUUUUAGAGGUAUAACAAAGGAUACUGGCGAGACAAGGGCACCUUCUGGCCACCAUAUCUAUUCUGUAUUAUAUUUGGGGGUAUGACACAAUCUAGAAUCACCUGUAAAGUCUCAGUGAGGAAUUGUCUACAUUAUGUUGGCCUAUGGGCAUGCCUGUGAUUUUCUUAAUUGGGUUGAUCUUGAAUGUGGGCGGCACCAUUUCAUGGUUCGGGGCCUGGACCGAAUGGACAAGGAGUGAUGCAUGCCUGAAUCCAUUGUUCUGCGCUCUUCACUGUGGAUGUAUUGUAACUAGUGCUGCCUUGACUUCCUGGAAUUGUGAGCCAAAUUCGCCCUUUCUCCCUUAAGUUGCUUUUGUCAUGGUAAAUUAUCCCCAGCAACAGAAAUGGAACUGUGGGGGGUGGGGAGAUCAUGGUUUGGAUACUUGAACAGUAUGCACCUGUUAAAACACUAAGCAAUCAGAAAGCAGGUUUGGUGGAGGCACAAGGGGCAAUCAGAGUCCUUUGGACCUUCCAAGUCUUUCCUAGCCUUCAGCCUGCCUGACCUGGCCACCAUCACCUCCUGCCCACAGGUGACGAUGCCCUCCUGUUCUGCUGAGUCAAGGCCUGCUGCAUUACUUCUGGAAGCGGGUAUCUCGCGGCGUGGCGGGUAUAUCUGUGGGUACCUAAUCUGCCCGCACAGAGCAGGGCUGAACGCGCGCAGCCGGGGCCUGUCGGGUUCGGACUCUAGAACUCCCCCGCGCUCCCGCAUUCCGUCGCACCCGGAGAGGCCUACCAGACCUCAGCGGGACACGGCCGGGUGCUGGCCAGGCCGGGAGGCGGCGGAGCGCAUGGGCCGGGCCCCUCCCUGCGAGUCUCCACCGCCCGGCGGCCCGCGCCGCACCCACUUCCUCUUUCCUGUCCCUCGCGGCGCCCCGGCAACCGCUCCACAAAAAUUUGUCAGUUCUGACAGGAAGCGUGGAGGCCGGAGCUGGGCGCUCUGCAGCGCAUCUCCGACGCGCUGCGGGCCUGGACUCGGGUGGGGUCGCCGGCCGCGCCUGCGGUGUCCAGCCUCGGCCUCUACCCGCUUGGGUCUCGGCUGCCUUCGUUCCCGCCUCGUUCCCGCUUCGACUUCAGCCUCCUCCAGCUCGGGUCUCGGUCCCACCCGCCCCGCCCCGCCCGGCCCUCAGCCCCAGUGGCAGCGGGGAGCCGCUCCGAGGGCCAUGGAGAUGGAGGAGGCGUUCCAGGUGGUGGGCGAGAUGGGCUUCUACCAGAUGUACUUGUGUUUCCUGCUGGCGGUGCUGCUGCAGCUCUACGUGGCCACAGAGGCCAUCCUCAUUGCACUGAUUGGUGCCACACCAUCAUACCACUGGGACUUGGCGGAGCUCCUUCCCAACCAGAGCCACAGCAACCAGUCAGUGGGCAAAGACCAGAACUUUGGGAACUGGUUUCUGACGGCCAAUGGCAGCGAGAUCCAUAAGCACGUGCACUUCAGCAGCAGCUUUACCUCCAUCGCCUCCGAGUGGUUUCUAAUUGCCAACAAAUCUUAUAAAGUCAAUGCGGCCAGCUCCUUUUUCUUCAGUGGUGUAUUUGUGGGAGUUAUCACUUUUGGUCAGCUUUCAGAUCGCUUCGGAAGGAAAAAAGUCUAUCUCACAGGUUUUGCCCUUGACAUCUUAUUUGCUAUUGUAAAUGGAUUUUCCCCCUCAUAUGAGUUCUUUGCACUAACUCGCUUCUUGGUUGGCAUGAUGAAUGGAGGGAUGUCCCUGGUGGCCUUUGUCCUGCUAAAUGAAUGCGUGGGCACCGCCUACUGGGCACUUGCAGGAUCCAUUGGAGGCCUUUUCUUUGCUGUUGGCAUUGCCCAGUAUGCCAUGUUAGGAUACUUCAUCCGCUCCUGGAGGACUCUAGCCGUUCUGGUUAAUCUUCAGGGAACAGUGGUCUUUCUCUUAUCUUUAUUCAUUCCUGAAUCACCUCGUUGGUUAUACUCCCAGGGUCGACUGAGUGAGGCUGAAGAGGCUCUGUACCUCAUUGCCAAGAGGAACCGCAAGCUCAAGUGCACAUUCUCUCUAACAUAUCCAAUCAACAGGAGCUACAAGGAGACCGGGAGCUUCCUGGAUCUGUUCCGUUACCGCAUCCUCCUAGGACACACUGUGAUCCUGAUGUUCAUCUGGUUUGUGUGCAGCUUGGUGUAUUAUGGCCUCACCCUGAGUGCAGGUGACCUAGGGGGGAGUAUUUAUGCCAACUUGGCCCUGUCUGGACUCAUAGAGAUUCCAUCCUACCCUCUCUGCAUCUACCUGAUUAACCAAAAAUGGUUUGGUCGGAAGCGAACAUUAUCUGCAUUUCUGAGCCUUGGAGGACUGGCUUGUCUCAUUGUGAUGUUUCUUCCAGAAAAGAAAGACACAGGUAUGUUUGCAGUGGUGAACAGCCAUUCCUUGUCCCUGAUGGGGAAGCUGACGAUCAGUGCUGCCUUCAACAUUGUUUACAUCUAUACCUCUGAGCUGUACCCCACCGUCAUCAGGAAUGUUGGGCUUGGAACUUGCUCCAUGUUCUCCCGAAUUGGUGGGAUUAUUGCUCCUUUCAUCCCCUCACUGGUUGAAGACUGUCCAGUGGUCUCUACCCUUCAUCGUGUUUGGAGCCACCGGCCUGGCCUCAGGCCUCCUGAGCCUACUGUUGCCAGAAACCCUGAACAGUCCUUUGCUGGAGACGUUUUCUGACCUUCAGAUGUGCUCUUAUCGGCGGUUAGGGGAGGAAGCUUUGUCUCUACAGACCUUGGAUCCUCCACAGCCCUCUGACAAGACUGGCUCCUUAGGGAGUGAAAGUGAGGAAGAGGAAGAGUUCUAUGACGCGGAUGAGGAGACUCAGAUGAUCAAGUGAAGAGUGACAAAUUCCUGCUCAGAAAGAAAGCGCCAUCAUCGUUAAUGCCUCGAGCCCGAACACCUGUCAAUGGUGCUCAGUGCACACUGACACUUUACAGACACAGGAGGCUGGAGGAGAAAUUCCAAAAGAGAAAACCUCAUGGCACUGAGAGAAUCAUAGUUAACUUAGUCCAGAAUUGAAGCUGAGCUCAACACCAUGACCUCUUGCCGUGCAGCUCAGGCCCACAUUCCAUACCGGGAGGCUGGCUAGCAUCUAGCUGUUUGUUUCUGCUGCCUUCCUUCCAGUGACCUGAGAGCAGAUGUGUGAAAUGUCACUCUACUUUCCUAGGAUUAGCCAAACCUUCCCUAAGAUUUCAUCUUUCUACCCAGCUUGACAUCUGCCCCUGUCACUUGCUGCUCCUCACCGGAAAUCUGGUGCCAGCUGGCGUGUCCAGAGGCCCUCCACCUUUGCCUCAGCUGAUGAAAUCUGAGUCUUUAUCUGGUUCCCAACUCAUGGUUGAUGAAAUAAAUAGCUUGUGCCUUCAGUUCCAAGAUCAUUCAGUAGGAAAAGCCAAACUCAACAGAGUAGUUGACUAGGGUCAGAAGCCCUCCUAUGACCUGGGGGCUCCCAACUUAAGUUAUGUGGUUUCUCCAGUUCCCAUUUGGGAACACUACCAAAAAUAUGUUUUUGUGAGAUUCUAGAUUCAGCAAUAACUUCAAAAUUGCACACAGUAGAUAAUAAAGCUUUGACUGGUAGAGGGCAGACUUUAAACGUGGUCUUUAAACAAGAGAACAAAGAUUAUCUUUCACAACUUUUGCUAUCUUCAAUGUGCAAUGAAGGAUUUGGAUGUUUAAGUAGUUGAACUCUUGCCCUAAACUAGUCCCCACUAAUUUUGUCAGAAGGCACGGUAAUUUUUUAGAGAAUGUUGGGUUUUCAGUAAGUGUUCCGCUGAUUUUUUUUUUUCAAAUGAAUCACAACCACACUUAAUUUCCUAAAACCAUGUGCUGAAAUACCUGUUUCUCAUAAAACUUGAACACUUCUCAAACAGGAGUGUGAACCAGGAGUCCACGUGCUGGGCAAUGUUCUUCUUGGUCACUUCCCCAGCUAUGGAAAUUACUCUGUGUUUCGAAUUUCUAUUUCUGAUAAUCUCUUAGAAAUAGAAAUUGUACAGAGGUGAAGGGAAGGUACCCUGUAGAUGCUUCUGGAAAGGGGCCUCUAGAUACACUCCUGGUCUUCUUCAUGUUGAGUUCUUGGUUCACACUAUAUCCCUCUGUUCCCUUGUUAGAGGUUUUUUGUUUUUUGUUUCCUGUUUCCUUUAUGCCUUUAAUUAUGUGUUCGGCUCUUGGUAAGUGGGAAGCCACCACUGUCUUUUCUCUCUACUAUGCCCAAACAUUGGCUCCCAGAUACACUAAGGACCUCAUAAAUGAUACUGUUUCCAGCCAUUGGGGAGAUUAUGGAACCCCCCCGCCGACCCUAGCAUCAUAUCUGCAAUCCCCAAACUGUGGAACCCUGGGUCUCUUUUCUCUGGAAAUGGAGCUCUGCCCUCCUUCAGCAGAAGAGGAAAAGAACUUACAGAAACCCUUGAUUCUUGUUAAAUGGUAGCAUAUUUAAAAUAAAGUAAUGAACAAAUGUAUAUAUAAUUCUGGUUGACUCAAAAUCUCUUUAUAAAAAUAAUAUAAUCCAUUACAGAAAAAUUCCAUACUAGAAGUUAGAAAAUGUGCUCAUCAGUCCAGAUCCAGAGAAAAUAAUAUCCCAGCCUUGCUCCCUGUGUAGAUUUUUGGAAGCUUUACCCUCUGUUGGCACUGAAGUUCCUGCAACUUCUGGUUAAGUGAAGAUCCAGUUAAUUCUAGCCCUGCGUUUGCACUUUCCCAGC